UCUCCACACAUCACUUUGGAGCUGAAGAAGCCGAGGGAGAGGUUCUCUGCCUCUCCGUCAUCCUCAACCUCGCCGCCGGUCGUAGUGACGACGACCUUCGCCAUCUCCGUUUGAGUCAAGUGCAUCGCCGGGAACGCAAGCCACGUCGACAACGCCCUGGAGCACGCACCGGAGCGCCGCCGCUUCAACCAUCAUCGUCGUCCGGCCAUUCUCAUUCACCUCAGAGAAAGCUGCUGCGCCAUUGUCAUUGCCUCAACCUCCUCUUCAAAACGCCUCAAGAACCCCAGCCGGAAACAUCAAGAACACGGAGAACACAUCCUUUUCUUCACCGGCGCCAAUCUAGGAUCGCCUCCGCCGUCAUCGUCGAUUACCGCUGCCUCGGUGAGCCAUUGUUCGAUUCCUUGCGCAUACACCAUCUCCUUGACCUCACAACCCUCGUGCAUGCUUGCUUGAAGCAGCUCAUUGUCCCGUUCGAGCCGUCGUCGUUCACCCGAGGAGGAGCGCCGUCGCCGAGCCGUUCCACAAGUCACCGCUGCCGCCAAGACCUCGACAACCCUAGCUCGACCCACGAUAAUUGCGUAAUCGGUGAAGAAGUGGAUUAGGUGCUAACAAUUCUCUGAUCAAGGAAAGUUUUCUCCUCCCAUCCUUUGAACACAUUGAAUCCCAUGAUUUGAGGAAUGAAAAUAUUUGUUUACAAAGUUGCAUGUGAACUUAGACUAUAUCGGUAUUUGAAAUUGGGUUAAGGUAGUUAUGACCUAUUUGCUACAUAUUCCACCUUGAAUAAUUGAUCCUCUUGCUGUUUGAACCCCUAGAAAUGGUUAGAGUACACUCUUUGUGCUCAAAUGGGUUUAUAUAUGCUCUAUGUGCAACUACUUGCUUAGCCAUGCUUAGA